UAAAGGAGGUAGGGGUGCGGAGACAGCCAGGAGGUUUACCUAGAAGCAGCCACCCUUGAAAGAGUGUGUAAUAGCUCACUGAUCGAGCGCUCUUGCGCCGAAGAUGAACGGGGAUAAGCGAUCUGCCGAAGCUGUGGGGUAUAAAAAUACAUCAGUAGGGGAGCGUUCCGCCUUAGAGGGAAGCCUCUGCGCGAGCGGUGGUGGACGAAGCGGAAGCGAGAAUGUCGGCUUGAGUAACGCAAACAGUGGUGAGAAUCCAAUGCCCCCAAAACCUAAGGGUUCCUCCGCAAGGUUCGUCCAUGGAGGGUGAGUCAGGGCCUAAGAUCAGGCCGAAAGGCAUAGUCGAUAGACAACAGGUGAAUAUUCUUGUACUACCCCUUGUUGGUCCCGAGGGACGGAGGAGGCUAGGUUAGCCGAAAGAUGGUUAUCGGUUCAAGAACGUAAGGUGUCCCUGCCCUUUUUUCAGGGUAAGAAGGAGUAGAGAAAAUGUCUCGAGCCAAUAUUCAAAUACCAGGCUCUACGACGCUGAAGUAACCCAUGCCAUACUCCCAGGAAAAGCUCAAACGACUUUGAGCAAGAGGGUACCUGUACCCGAAAUCGACACAGGUGGGUAGAUAGAGAAUACCUAGGGGCACGAGACAACUCUCUCUAAGGAACUCGGCAAAAUAGCCUCGUAACUUUGGGAGAAGGGGUGCCUCUUCACAUCACAAAGGGGGUCGCAGUGACCAGGCCCGGGCGACUGUUUACCAAAAACACAGGUCUCCACAAAGUCGUAAGACCAUGUAUGGGGGCUGACGCCUGCCCAAUGCCGGAAGGUCAAGAAAGUUGGUAACCUGAUGACAGGGGAGCCGGCGACCGAAUCCCCGGUGAACGGCGGCCGUAACUAUAAUGGUCCUAAGGUAGCAAAAUUCCUUGUCGGGUAAGUUCCAACCCACACGAAAGGCGUAACGAUCUGGGUACUAUCUCGGAGAGAGGCUCGGUGAAAUAGACAUGUCUGUGAAGAUGCGGACUACCUACACCUGGACAAAAAGACCCUAUGAAGCUUCACUGUUCCUUGGGAUUGGCUUUGGACCUUUGCUGCGUAGCUUAGGUGGAAGGCGAAGAAGGCCUCCUUUCGGGGGGGCCCGAGCCAUCAGUGAGAUACCACUCUGGAAGGGCUAGAAUUCUAACCUUAUGUCAGGACCUACGGGCCAAGGGACAGUCUCAGGUAGACAAUUUCUAUGGGGCGUAGUCCUCCCAAAAGGUAACGGAGGCAUGCAAAGGUUUCCUCAGGCCAGACGGAGAUUGGCCCUCGAGUUCAAAGGCAGAAGGGAGCUUGACUGCAAGAUUCACCCGUCGAGAAGGGACGAAAGUUGGCCUUAGUGAUCCGACGGUGCCGAGUGGAAGGGCCGUCCCUCAACGGAUAAAAGUUACUCUAGGGAUAACAGGCUGAUCUUCCCCAAGAUCUCACAUCGAUGAGAAGGUUUGGCACCUCGAUGUCGGCUCUUCGCCACCUGGGGCUGUAGUAUGUUCCAAGGGUUGGGCUAUUUGCCCAUUAAAGCGGUACGUGAGCUGGUUUUAGAACGUCGUGAGACAGUUCGGUCCAUAUCCGGUGUGGGCGUUAGAGCAUUGAGAGAACCUUUCCCUAGUAUGAGAGGACCGGGAAGGACGCACCUUUGGUGUACCAGUUAUCGUGCCUACGGUAAACACUGGGUAGCCAAGUGCGGAGCGGAUAAUUUCUGAA
rnacentral:rRNA from 1 species